CACGCCGUAAACGAUGUCGAUUUGGAGGCUGUGUCCUUGAGACGUGGCUUCCGGAGCUAACGCGUUAAAUCGACCGCCUGGGGAGUACGGCCGCAAGGUUAAAACUCAAAUGAAUUGACGGGGGCCCGCACAAGCGGUGGAGCAUGUGGUUUAAUUCGAUGCAACGCGAAGAACCUUACCUGGCCUUGACAUGUCUGGAAUCCUGCAGAGAUGCGGGAGUGCCUUCGGGAAUCAGAACACAGGUGC
rnacentral:rRNA from 2 species